rnacentral:rRNA from 1 species
GACGAACGCUGGCGGCGUGCUUAACACAUGCAAGUCGAACGGAAAGGCCCUGCUUUUGUGGGGUGCUCGAGUGGCGAACGGGUGAGUAACACGUGAGUAACCUGCCCUUGACUUUGGGAUAACUUCAGGAAACUGGGGCUAAUACCGGAUAGGAGCUCCUGCUGCAUGGUGGGGGUUGGAAAGUUUCGGCGGUUGGGGAUGGACUCGCGGCUUAUCAGCUUGUUGGUGGGGUAGUGGCUUACCAAGGCUUUGACGGGUAGCCGGCCUGAGAGGGUGACCGGCCACACUGGGACUGAGAUACGGCCCAGACUCCUACGGGAGGCAGCAGUGGGGAAUAUUGCAGAAUGGGCGGAAGCCUGAUGCAGCAACGCCGCGUGCGGGAUGACGGCCUUCGGGUUGUAAACCGCUUUCGCAUGUGACGAAGCGUGAGUGACGGUAAUGGGUAAAGACGCACCGGCUAACUACGUG